rnacentral:rRNA from 1 species
GACGAACGCUGGCGGCGUGCUUAACACAUGCAAGUCGAACGGAAAGGCCCUGCUUUCGUGGGGUGCUCGAGUGGCGAACGGGUGAGUAACACGUGAGUAACCUGCCCUUGACUUUGGGAUAACUUCAGGAAACUGGGGCUAAUACCGGAUAGGAGCUCCUGCUGCAUGGUGGGGGUUGGAAAGUUUCGGCGGUUGGGGAUGGACUCGCGGCUUACCAGCUUGUUGGUGGGGUAGUGGCUUACCAAGGCUUUGACGGGUAGCCGGCCUGAGAGGGUGACCGGCCACAUUGGGCCUGAGAUACGGCCCAGGCUCCUACGGGAGGCAGCAGUGGGGAAUAUUGCACAAUGGGCGGAAGCCUGAUGCAGCAACGCCGCGUGCGGGAUGACGGCCUUCGGGUUGUGAACCGCAUUCGCCUGUGACGCAGCGUGAGUGACGGUAAUGGGUGAAGAAGCACCGGCUAACUACGUG